rnacentral:lncRNA from 1 species
CAGGGACAGAGCAGAAUUUCUCUUGUUCCUCCAUGGUGCCCUGCCCCUUUAUGUUGGCUGCUAAUCACAGGUGUCCUGACUUAUUUAAGGAAACAGAGUAUCACCAGCCUAAUGGAGUCUGUGCCUGGAAGUGACUGUUCAUCACAGCCGCGCAGCUCAUGCUUCUCUGCCUCGUUUCUGCUGUUAUCAGUGCCCCUGUGUUUAGGGGAGGAAAACGAGAUAUUUUGCAUUCAUUGAGGAAGCACUGCAGCCUGCAUGAUGACACGUAUUGAAUCAGAACUGUCUCCAUCAAAUUGCAGCUCAUCUGAAAAUACGCCUUCUGCUGCUGCCUCUUAAAGGAAGUUUGCAGUCUAAGAACCGAGAUCCUGGGACACUGGAGCAUGACUAAAAACAGCCAGAGAGGGAAUCUGGAGGAUGUCUUCCAAGAGGGAGUUCAGAAACAGAGUCCUCAAUGGGUAAAAUGUAGCCUGCACUCUUGUGGAACCUAGGAACCAAACACUGAUGACCAUGAAUUACAGUCACAUAGUAUGGCAGACUGCCUCUGCAUCUGUCUAUCUCUGCAUGUAUCAACAAGAAUUGCAUAAUGUGGCAGCUAAGUUUGUACCUCACCUACCCAAAUCUUUGAAG